CAGCACCUCAAGUGGUCAGGAUGAUUAUUGGGCCUAAAGCAUCCGUAGCCGGCGCUGCAAGUUUUCGGUUAAAUCUGUACGCUCAACGUACAGGCUGCCGGGAAUACUGCAGCGCUAGGGAGUGGGAGAGGUAGACGGUACUCGGUAGGAAGGGGUAAAAUCCUUUGAUCUAUUGAUGACCACCUGUGGCGAAGGCGGUCUACCAGAACACGUCCGACGGUGAGGGAUGAAAGCUAGGGGAGCAAAACGGAUUAGAGACCCGAGUAGUCC
rnacentral:rRNA from 1 species